UUCCCAUUCAUUCCUAUACCAAUUCAUCCUGACCUGGUCCAUCCCAUUUCUUAUUGGUAACCCAUGUAUGAUAGAACAAAUAAUAUAUAUGGAGCAUAUUAGAAUUAAAAUAGUGUUGAGUAUGGCCACAAAAAAGGAAGAGAAAAUAUGUGUAUAAAUAGAUUUAUUAUGAAAUAUGACAGUGUGUAAAUAUGUUUUAUUCAUGCAAUUGACCCUUACAAUAAUUUAUUAUAGUAACACUUUACAAGAAGUGGUAAAAAAGAAAAUGUGGAGAAUAUGAGCUUUUCGAGAUGUUCAUAAUAUUGUAAUAUGAAAACAGUCUAUUAUCUGUAGUGGAAUAAUUAUUAAAUCUGGAACCACCCUUGCAUGAACAUUUGAAAGUGCAAACACAGUUUUCGGAAGUUUCACUCGCGCGAUAUUUUGAAAAGUUUGGAAAAAGAAUUGUUUGAAAGGUAUGUAUUUUUCUGUGUUACUUGCUUAUUUGCUGAAUUACAAAAGUAAUGUACAUUUCAUGUUGCCAUGCUUUUACUUACACCAGUUUAUUUAAUUGCAGUUUGAGAUAUGUUGCAGGAAAAUGUUGUCAAGGCAAGCCGAAGAAGCAGCACGAGAUUUUCCCUGGAAAAGAAUGAAGACUGUCUGCGAAGAAAGUGACUGUAUUCAUUUGUAGUGUUUAAAGUGAAGAAAGAAAUAAAAUGUUAGUAAUUGAAAUUUAUACUCUCUGUGAGGGUUGGGAACUCUGUCCAGUCUAUUCCAGUUCCUUCCCAUUCAUUCCUAUCCCAAUUCAUCCUGACCCGAUCCAUCCCAUUUCUUAUUGGUAACCCAUGUAUGAUAGAACAAAUAAUAUAUAUAGAGCAUAUUAGAAUUAAAAUAGUGUUAAGUAUGGCCACAAAAAAGGAAGAGAAAAUAUUUGUAUAAAUAGAUUUAUUUUGAAAUAUGACAGUGAGUAAAUAUGUUUUAUUCAUGCAAUUGACUCUUACAAUAAUUUUUUAUAGUAACACUUUAGAAGAAGUGGUAAACGAACCCUUCUUUUAAUGUAAAUGUUUGUAUAUGAUAGAAAAUGUGGAGAAUAUGAGUUUUUCCAGAUGUUCAUAAUAUUGUUAUGAAAACAGUCUAUUAUCUGUAGUGGAAUAAUUAUUAAAUCAGGAACCACGCUUGCAUGAACAUUCGAAAGUUCAUACACAGUUUUCGGAAGUUUCACUCUAGCGAUAUUUUGAAAAGUUUGGAAAAAGAAUUGUUUGAAAGGUAUAUAUUUUUCUGUGUUACUUGCAUAUUUGCUGAAUUACGAAAGUAAUGUACAUUUCAUGUUGCCAUGAUUUUACUUACACCAGUUUAUUAAAUUUCAGUAUGAGAUAUGUUGCAGGAAAAUGCUGUGAAGGCAAGCCGAAGAAGCAGCACUGGAUUUUUCCUGGAAAAGAAUGAAGACUGUCUGUGAAGAAAGUGACUGUAUUCAUUUGUAGUGUUUAAAGUGAAGAAAGAAAUAAAAUAUUAUUAAUUGAAAUUUAUACUCUGUGGGGGUUGGGAACUCUGUCCAGUCUAUUCCAGUUCCUCCCCAUUCAUUCCUAUCCCAAUUCAUCCUGACCUGGUCCAUCCCAUUUCUUAUUGGUAACCCAUGUAUGAUAGAACAAAUAAUAUAUAUGGAGCAUAUUAGAAUUAAAAUAGUGUUUAGUAUGGCCACAAAAAAGGAAGAGAAAAUACGUGUAUAAAUAGAUUUAUUAUGAAAUAUGACCGUGUAUGAAUAUGUUUUAUUCAUGCAAUUGACCCUUACAAUAAUUUAUUAUAGUAACACUUUACAAGAAGUGGUAAAAAAGAAAAUGUGGAGAAUAUGAGUUUUUCGAGAUGUUCAUAAUAUUGUAAUAAGAAAACAGUCUAUUAUCUGUAGUGGAAUAAUUAUUAAAUCUGGAACCACACUUGCAUGAACAUUUGAAAGUGCAUACACAGUUUUCGGAAGUUUCACUCUCACGAUAUUUUGAAAAGUUUGGAAAAAGAAUUGUUUGAAAGGUAUGUAUUUUUCUGUGUUAGUUGCUUAUUGCUGAAUUACCAAAAGUAAUGUACAUUUCAUGUUGCCAUGCUUUUACUUACACCAGUUUAUUUAAUUUCAGUAUGAGAUAUGUUGCAGGAAAAUGCUGUCAAGGCAAGCCGAAGAAGCAGCACGAGAUUUUCCCUGGAAAAGGAUGAAGACUGUCUGUGAAGAAAGUGACUGUAUUCAUUUGUAGUGUUUAAAGUGAAGAAAGAAAUAAAAUGUAAUUAAUUGAAAUUUAUACUCUCUGUGGGGGUUUGGAACUUUGUCAAGUCUAUUCCAGUUCCUUCCCAUUCAUUCCUAUACCAAUUCAUCCUGACCUGGUCCAUCCCAUUUCUUAUUGGUAACCCAUGUAUGAUAGAACAAAUAAUAUAUAUGGAGCAUAUUAGAAUUAAAAUAGUGUUGAGUAUGGCCACAAAAAAGGAAGAGAAAAUAUGUGUAUAAAUAGAUUUAUUAUGAAAUAUGACAGUGUGUAAAUAUGUUUUAUUCAUGCAAUUGACCCUUACAAUAAUUUAUUAUAGUAACACUUUACAAGAAGUGGUAAAAAAGAAAAUGUGGAGAAUAUGAGCUUUUCGAGAUGUUCAUAAUAUUGUAAUAUGAAAACAGUCUAUUAUCUGUAGUGGAAUAAUUUUUAAAUCUGGAACCACACUUGCAUGAACAUUUGAAAGUGCAAACACAGUUUUCGGAAGUUUCACUCGCGCGAUAUUUUGAAAAGUUUGGAAAAAGAAUUGUUUGAAAGGUAUGUAUUUUUCUGUGUUACUUGCUUAUUUGCUGAAUUACAAAAGUAAUGUACAUUUCAUGUUGCCAUGCUUUUACUUACACCAGUUUAUUUAAUUGCAGUUUGAGAUAUGUUGCAGGAAAAUGUUGUCAAGGCAAGCCGAAGAAGCAGCACGAGAUUUUCCCUGGAAAAGAGUGAAGACUGUCUGCGAAGAAAGUGACUGUAUUCAUUUGUAGUGUUUAAAGUGAAGAAAGAAAUAAAAUGUUAGUAAUUGAAAUUUAUACUCUCUGUGAGGGUUGGGAACUCUGUCCAGUCUAUUCCAGUUCCUCCCCAUUCAUUCCUAUCCCAAUUCAUCCUGACCCGAUCCAUCCCAUUUCUUAUUGGUAACCCAUGUAUGAUAGAACAAAUAAUAUAUAUAGAGCAUAUUAGAAUUAAAAUAGUGUUAAGUAUGGCCACAAAAAGGAAGAGAAAAUAUUUGUAUAAAUAGAUUUAUUUUGAAAUAUGACAGUGAGUAAAUAUGUUUUAUUCAUGCAAUUGACUCUUACAAUAAUUUUUUAUAGUAACACUUUAGAAGAAGUGGUAAACGAACCCUUCUUUUAAUGUAAAUGUUUGUAUAUGAUAGAAAAUGUGGAGAAUAUGAGUUUUUCCAGAUGUUCAUAAUAUUGUUAUGAAAACAGUCUAUUAUCUGUAGUGGAAUAAUUAUUAAAUCAGGAACCACGCUUGCAUGAACAUUCGAAAGUUCAUACACAGUUUUCGGAAGUUUCACUCUAGCGAUAUUUUGAAAAGUUUGGAAAAAGAAUUGUUUGAAAGGUAUAUAUUUUUCUGUGUUACUUGCAUAUUUGCUGAAUUACGAAAGUAAUGUACAUUUCAUGUUGCCAUGAUUUUACUUACACCAGUUUAUUAAAUUUCAGUAUGAGAUAUGUUGCAGGAAAAUGCUGUCAAGACAAGUCGACAAAGCAGCACGAGAUUUUCCCUGGAAAAGCAUGAAGACUGUCUGUGAAGAAAUUGACUGUAUUCAUUUGUAGUGUUUAAAGUGAAGAAAGAACAUAAAAUAUUAAUAAUUGAAAUACAUACUCUGCGGGGGAUGGGAACAUUGUCCAGUCUAUUCCAAUUCCUAACCAUUCAUUCCUAUCCCAAUCCAUCCUGACCCAGUCCAUCCCAUUUCUGAUUUGUAACCCAUGUAUGAUAGUACAAAUAAUAUAUAAUAUAGCAUAUUAGAAUUGAAAUAUUAAUGUUGAGCAUGGUCACAAAAAGGAAGAGAAAAUAUGUGUAUAAAUAGAUUUAUUAUGAAAUAUGACAGUGUGUAAAUAUGUUUUAUUCAUGCAAUUGACACAAUAGUAACCCUUAAGAAGUGGUAAAAGUACACUUCUUUUAAAGUAAAUUUAUAUGAUAGAAAAUGUGAAAAACAUCAGUUUUUCAAGAUGUUCAUAAUAUUAUUAUGAAAACAAUCUUUUAUCUGAAGUGAUGUAAUUAUUAAAUCUGGAACCAGGCUUGCAUGAACAGUUGAAAGUUCAUACAUAGUUUUCGGAAGUUACACUCGCGAUAUUUUGAGAAGUUUGGAAAAAGAAUUGUUUGAAAGGUAUAUAUUUUUUCUGUGUUACUUGCAUAUUUGCUGAAUUACAAAGUAAUGUACAUUUCAUGUUGCCAUGCUUUUACUUACACAAGUUUAUUUAAUUUCAGUAUGUGUGGAAGCUAAAUAUGAGAUAUGUUGCAGGAAAAUAUUGUCAAGGUGAGCGGAAGAAGCAGCACUGGAUUUUCCCUGGAAAAGAAUAAAGACUGUCUGCGAAGAAAGUGACUGUAUUCGCAUGUCGUGUUUAAAGUGAAGAAAGAAAUAAAAUGUUAUUAAUUGAAAUUUAUACUCUCUGUGGGGGUUGGGAACUCUGUUCAGUCUAUUUCAGUUCCUCCCCAUUCAUUCCUAUCCUAAUCCAUCCUGACCCAGUCCAUCUCAUUUCUUAUUGGUAACCCAUGUAUGAUAGUACAAAUAAUAUAUAUGGAGCAUAUUGGAAUUAAAAUAGUGUUGAGUAUGGCCACAAAAAAGGAUGAAAAAAUAUGUGUAUAAAUAGAUUUAUUAUGAAAUAUGACCCUGUGUAAAUAUGUUUUAUUCAUGCAAUUGAGAUAAUAGUAACACUAUAUAAGAAGUGAGUAGGUUAGUAGUAGGAAUCUGUAGUAGGCUACAAGAUUGAUUUCCAAACCAAAUGAUAGGCACUGGUAUGUAUUGCUGUUUAUAAUGAUAGUGUUGUGUAUAAAAGGUUUCAUUGAUAUGUUGACCUGUUCACCACAGGUAAAUGUCAACUUCUCCACUCAAAUUAGAGGUGGAGGAUGAUUGAUCUAGACUUUAGCUUAAGAGGAUUUAACUAAUGUAUUCCAUGUAACUUUUACCACAGUUUUAGAUGCCUAAUUUCCAAAACAUCAACACUGUUAUUAGGAGAAACACUCAUGGAUGAAGAAUCAGACUGCUUAAUCGACAGAUGAUAAAAAUUUUCACAUGCAAGAAAAAUGCCAACUGGAAAAAAUCCCACAGACCACCAGCACCAACAUGGACAGAUGGUAUUUCAACAUAUAGUAGAUUCACGGUGAUACAUCGUAGAGCGGAUAUAGCUGGUCAACAUAUACAAGAAUGUUGAGAUAUCAGUAGUUGGUUUCCUGCAAGAGCUAGAGAGGUCAGAGAAAGGGAUCGGCUAAAAAAGAACAUGAAGGGGUCUGAUGAUAAUAUGGAUGUAGGUUAUGAAGCCAAUGUUGAGCCCAGGAGGUCCUCGUCAAGUUACAGCAGAUUCAUUCAAGAAAGAAAUGGAGAAUCUUCAAAAGCACAUAAUGGUAUGGUCCACAUUAUGGAAGUUCAU